GUUUAACAACGGCGUGUGUACGACGUGGUGAAUUACAAUGUGAUGAUUGUAGAUCGUAGUUCUUUCACUACAGCGCAGCUGUUGAAGUGACGACCCUGGGCCCUGGGCCCCCGCGCACCCAUGGCCCCGUCGUGGUGGUCGGUCCCGCCUCAGAAACGGCGCUUUCGGUUCUAUUUAGAACCGACUACAUCGUCAAAGUUCCCCUACAGAUUGUGUGGAGCCAGAAGAAAGAAUCGUCUGCUGCUCUAAAUGCUUCACAGGCAAGUUCAGAUGAGCUUACUGAGGACAAUGUCGGGCUCGAAGAUGAACCAUAUCUGCAGGAUGAAUUUCCUAUAACAGUCAGCAAGGUCCAUGGUAAUUCGGAAUGUAGUCAAGAGGUUCCUGAAGAUGUUGAAGUCGACAACCCAGAUGCUGACCUCUCUGAUUGUGUGGCAAGAAAUUCAGCAGUAAUGCUUCCUGGCCUCUCUCAUCCCAUGUCUCGAUGACAUUCUGCCAUCAAGAUACAUCAGGCAUUUCAUGCCGCUUUCUAAAAGCCUCUUCAUGCUGCUCAAGGAAACUGUCGAGGAGUCUGAGGCAUUUAUUGCUCAGAGAUUGUUAAAGAGGUUUGUUCAAGAGGUUUCCAUACUGUAUGG
rnacentral:lncRNA from 1 species